AACCAAUCUUUCUCUUGGUUGAUCAGAAACUAUGCAUUCAGGGUGGAAAGGUUUGGCUACCUGCAGUGUUCAGUUCAUUUGGAUGUAAAGAUUCAUUUUCAAAACGUUUUCAUUUUUCCCUGCUCAUUAUUCAGAUGAUUAUUUUGGGUUGUAUGUCUGUACCUUCUGAGAAGAACUAUAAAACAAUGGUCUUGUAUGACUCCUUGUAAAAGAUUCAGGAUAUGGUAUUUCCAAUUCAAUUUAAGUUAACAAAGAUUCUUCGUCAGACCCAUGGGCAUCUACAGGACAUUUUCUUCCUUGGAAGAGGCAGGGAAGAUUAUAUAGCAGAGCUUAUUUAAAGAUAAAAAAAACUCCAUAGUGAUAUCUGACUAGUUUUUCCAAUAUAGCAUGUAUUUCUAUAGCACAUUUUCCUCACAUGUUCAGUAAGGAUAUAAAUCUCUUACUACAUUCAUGCAAGAACAAAGGCUUUCAAAAGUGUUUUUCUGCUGGGUUAAGAUUACAAGAGUUUCUGCAUAUAUUUUUUCAAUGACUUUUACUAUUUCUAUACUCUGAAAAUAUUUGUUUGUAAAAAAAAAACAGCGCUGGGCUAUUGUACAGAGCUGGCAUAACUCAUGCUCUUACAACCAGCCCCAGACAUCUGAUUAUUAUAUCAACAAUGUACUUUACUUCAUCCUUAGAAGAGUACAUUUUUCAAAUGUUUACCUCCCUCCCACAUAGAUUUUAAACAAUACAUGAUUUAGAAUUGCCACACAUUUUUGUUUUUGCAGUUACCUUUUGUUUGGAAGUAUAUACACAGGUGUCCAACCACAACCACACUACAUUCCAAAUUAUCUCUUUUUUUAAAAAAAGAUUAACUAAUCUCUUCAAGUAUUACUCCCCACCCCAUUGGAGGUAAAAAGUUUAUUUUCAAUUUAGUGAGCAUGUCAAUUAUUAGCAUUUAAAAUCAUGUUUGUGCUCAAAAUACUGAACAGGAGUGAGCUGAUUUCUUAAAAAUGAAGCCACACGAUAGGAAAGUGCUAAUGUGAUAUCGUACUAAGCUUAUUUCCUUAGAUGCAUGGAGAAAAGUCUACUUCCUCAUGUGUAUAUUCACCCCUUGCAUCUGAGAAAGUAGACCUAGUCUAUGAAAACGUAUCCUUCCCAAUUUCAUUCUCUCAGUUUAAUCGGUAAAGUGCCAUAAGAUCUCUUUCCACCACGCAUGCAAAUGAAAAUUUAAAUAUGUAUGUCUCCAUUGGGUCAAGGCCCCAGGGGCUAUUGCAUUCCAUCCCAAAACUUCCUCACAAACAACUACCAAGGCACAGGAAGAGCUGUUGCACAUUCUCAACAGUAGGAAGGAUCAGAAGGAGAAGAUGAUUCAGAUCAUGAAGAUAUGAAAGCUCUGUACUUGUAAGGAAAGGAAAGGUGUACCUCAGUGAGCUAAUUCCAGCUGCUGCUUAAUACUGCCUUAUGUCUCCUCCUCCUCCUGAGGAGUACAGCCCUUCUUGGAGCUUGGCAGCUACUGGGAAGAAGGAGAAGGAAGUGGAACUAUGUAGGUGAAGCUACAUUGUGAUGUAGGAUAUUGUUUUUGGUGUAGAACCAACUUAAUGCUUUAUGUCUUCAGGAUCUUCUAGUUUGAUUCUGAGGGAGACUAACAAAGUGAAGCAAGUGAUGGGGAUCAGUAUAUACAAAUUGCAUGUACAUGCACAUACACAUUUAAACUGUUUUGGCUGAAGUGAAGGACUAUGGGAGAUAGGCAAUAGGGAAAUAACUGAGUGUCAGUUAUAUGUUACUUUAUCCACACUUCGCAAAAAUGCCUACUUCUGUUUUAAGUAGCUCUGUGGCCCUAAUCCAGAAUAUGUUUCUGAUUUGCAUUAGGUUUCUACUAGGCAUGAGCGAUCCAUGAAAAAAAUGUUUCUAAACUCGCUUGUAAAGUAGGGGGCGCUGGCGCUUCGUUUCUGAAACUACUUCUGAAAUUUGGCCCAAAAAGUUUCGAAACUUAAUAUUAGGAAUAUUCAAAAUUAAUUUGUUAAUGGCGGACGCGCAUGCGCAGUGGCCAAGAACAGCACAGGGGGGGGGGACUUUACAGGACUCUCCCACCCUCAUUUUUUGAGCUAUCUUCUUCAAACUUGGUACAGUGGUAGAACCCAUUUAACACUGCUAGCUCACCAAAAUUCAGAACAUUUCCCUUAUCCUCUGAUUUUGGCAAAUUUUCAUAGCUUUUAUAAUAAACCAUUUUUUAAUAAUUGCAGAAAUCUGCUCCUGGUUUGAAAGUCUUAUUUCCUGUUUAAUUGGGUUGUCUUUACUUUGAAAGUCAUUGUUAUACUUCAGAAACUUUGUUUUUUUGGCUGAAACUUUGUUAAAUUGGUGGACAGUGUCCCAGGAAACCAUAAUGUGCUCCAUGCCCCCUGCGCAAAGACAAAGUUCAGGCAGUGUCAUAAAUUUUGCCAUGUUUCUAUGACAGAACCAAUUAGGAACAUUUAUCACCCAGGAACAGAAAUCAUAGUACACCAUCAAAUCAUUCCUGACAGAUGGCCAUCAGCCUCUGAAUAAGGAAAUCAGUUUGUGGUUUGCAAGUGCUAUUUCCUGUGUCAUUGGCUUUUCUGGGGCUGAGAGUGUGUGACUUGCCCAAGUGGGUGGCUGAGUGGGGAAUCAAGCCACAAUCGGAGCACAACAGUCAAACCUCUCCCUCCCUCUUUCUCUCUCUCUCCCUCCCUCUUUCUCUCUCUCUCUAAAUUUCUCAUACCUUCCAAGAAUUCACAUACCUUAUGAAAGUUUGGUCAAAAUGGUCAGAGGAGGGCAACUAAAAUGAUCUAGGGUCUGGCGAACAAGCCCUAUGAGGAGCGGCUUAAAGAACUGGGCAUGUUUAUUUAUUUAUUUAUUUCAAUUAUUUAUACCCCGCCCUUCUCACCCAAGGGGACUCAGGGCGGCUUACAAGUGGCAGUUGAUGCCGUUAUACAAUAAACUAAAAUGAUUAAAACAGUUAAAACAGUCAUAAAAUACAAUAUACAAAGUUUAAAACAAUGCAAAGUGCUUAUGCCAUGCAGAAGAAAAGGGGGAGAGAAAGGUGACAUAAGGAAGGCCAUGUAUAAAUAUGUGAAGGGAAGUCAUUGGGAGGAAAAAAUAAGCUUGUUUUCUGUUGCCCUGGAGACUAAGACGCAAUGGAACAAUGGCUGCAAACUACAGGAAAGGAGAUUUCACCUGAACAUGAGGAGGAACUUCCUCACUGUGAGAGCUGUUCAGCAGUGGAACUCUCUGCCCCAGAGUGUGGUGGAGGCUCUUUCUUUGGAGGCUUUUAAGCAGAGGCUGGAUGGCCAUCUGUCAGGGGUGCUUUGAAUGCGAUUUCCUGCUUCUUGGCAGACUGGAUGGCCCACAAGGUCUCUUCCAACUCUAUUCUAUGAUUCUAUGAUUCUAAGUGAGGACGAAAGGGGGUAGGGAAUGUUAAGAGAAGAGAGGGCCUGGGACAUCUGGGAAUUGUAAUUUUAAAGUGGGCAUAGUACUAUUGGGGGAAACGUCUGCUUCAGCCCAAUGCUUUUAUAAAUUGGGAAAAUUCAGAGGCUUCGUUCUGCUACAUUUUUAAAGCUAUUGAGAUGAAAUUUGCCAGAAUGGAAGCAAAUAUUCAUAACUCUUUGCCUAUUAAGUUUCAUGAUGUUUGACUCAAACACUGAUUUUUUGGGGGAAUUUUCAAACAACAUUUUUUUAAAACGCUACCAGAACGAUGGCCCCGCCUCUCCGCCCCUCUUCCCUGAUUGGCUUAGCCCAAGGCUUCUGGGAAAUGGAGUUUUGUCCAGGCAAUGGUUUCUUGCUUCACUUCCACUUAAAUAAAUAAGGAAAAUCCAGAGGCUUCGUUCUGCUUAAUUUUUAAAGCUAUUGAGAUAAAAUUUGCCAGAUUGGAAGCAAAUAUUCAUAACUCUUUGCCUAUUAAGUUUCAUAAUGUUUGACCGAUCCACUGAUUUUUUGGGAAUUUUCAAACAACAUUUGUUUAAAACGCUAUCAGAACAAUGGCCCCGCCUCUCUGUCCCUCUUCCUUCCACCCUGAUUGGCUGAGAGGCAUGCCAACAUGGCUUCACCUCUCAGAGGGGCUACAACUACAUCCGAAGACAUCAGAGACAGACAAAAAAGGUGCCUUUUGAUUCAAAUUCUUAUUAGGAAGGCACUGAGCAGAUGUUUCAAAACUCGCUUCAAAAGUGCUUUCAAACCGAAUUUGAAACUAAUUUAAUGGACUAACGAAAAAUUUGCCUAACCCUAGUUUCUAUAUUGAUUUUUAUCUCUACUCCCCUCUGGUGUUAUUACAUCCCCAGGAUUUGUUGCUUCCAACAAUGCUGUUUGCAGUGUAUGUGAUGUUUGGGGGCACAUAGCAAUUGGGAAAGUGACAUGAAUUGCUUAAAUAUUAGUGAUUUUAAUGGGUCUGUGGCAGCAUAACUUUGUGCAGGAUUGCGGCAGUGUUUACUCUAAAAGUCAGAAUUCAACAUUGUCUGGUGUGUUUAUCUAAUAGUUUAUGCUCAUAACUGUGUUUUAAAAUUAUAAACACAUAGGAACAUGCCACAUGAGUGAUAUAGUUUAAACUGAGCUGAUGCCAUAAUGAAUAAACGUUUCAGUAGUUAUUCAGACGUCUGGCCAAGAACCUUUUUUGUAAAGUAUUGCUUCAAGCACUACAAUAUACUAAAAAGAAAAUGCAUGUUCCUGUUUUCAGAGGAGAUUUUCACAUUCUGGAGUUUAAGAAUUUUCAUUUCUGUUUAAUUUGAUGAUGUUUACUUCUGUUUAGUUUUACUGCCAUUAUCAUUAUUCAUUAACAGCAAGUAGAUCAUAUUCUCUUUGAUACCAGUUAAAAUGAAAUCUUGGAGGAUAUUGACAUUGAUUGAUGGACACACUUUGAGACUAUGCACUUGCAACCUGUUUAGGUUUCUUGCAUAUAAUGCCAGUGCAGCAUUGCUCAAAACAGCAGUAACUAAGAUUUCUUCUGUUUUACUGCAGGUUAUGUGAAAUGAACUUGAAACCAGAAUUUGCCUAAAUUGUGUUCACUCAUUUAAAAGAAUGGAUAUAAUAAAUACUACAUUCUUUAGGAAGUACAGUGACACUUUAUCCAUAGAUUCAAGAGUUGCCUUGAAAGAUUCCAUUUGUUUAUUCAUGGCAUAUAGUUUUCAAAUGAACUGUCAGAGUUUUAUAUUAUUUGGGUCAUUUCUUAAGUGAAAAUGAAUAAGUGUUUGCAGGAAUCAUGUCCCAUCUAUGUUUGAUCAGCAAUUAAGACACCUGCUUUAGAUUGAGGGCUAUUAAUAGAGUCUGAGUAAGUCUUGUGUUAGUGUUGUGUGUUAUAGUAGUGUUGUUAAAGUGUUGUGAUGGUGUUGUAAAGUGCAGUGUUGUAGUGUGUGCUGUGAUGGUGGCAAAGAUGUUAUUGCUGCUGAAGAGCUACUGAAGUGAAACCGAAGAGAGGUUUGAAGACGGAGAGUCCAGAGACCACAGAGGUUAAAGCUCCAAGAUAAGAAAGCUUUGUUUUGCUGCUGAUAAAAGCAAAGGACUGUGUUUUGUAUGUUUUGUUUAUAUAAAUCUUUCUUUACCAAAGGACAGUUUUGUUUUGGAGUUAUUCUCCUUGGACGAGGGUGCAACUUCCGCAGAAGGGGUUGAGAGUUUGGAACCCAAUUGGCUAGCUGCGACAUGAACCAUUUAGAAUUCAUUAAUGCAUGACUUGGUAAGAAAGAUACAGUUUUAAAAAGAAGAUUCACACUGCUAGUAAGCACAUAUUGUUGUAUUGUUGUUUCUGGAAAGACAAAAGCUCUGUGAGCACCCUGUUGUCAUCAUUGAACUUUCCUUUUCAUCUGUCAUUGUGGGUGGCUUGGGGCAUUUUAAACUAUCAAUUAAAGAUCCCUCAGGAUCAAUUCAUUAUGUGUUAAAAGAAGUUACACCUCUUGAGACAGAUUGCUGUGCUGUGUUGAGUUGGAUCACUCUGGACAUUGGUGGAAAUCAUCCAGUGACAGUGUUAUGGUUGAGCCUUAUGGCUCCGAUACUGGGAGACGUGGUCGUAAGACUCCUCGGGAGUCAGAUACUCUCGAGGAGCAAGAAAGGAAGCGGCUGCGGGACUUAUUUGCAGAACCAUCUGACGAGGAUUCCUUUGAGGGUUUUACUGAGAGAAUGGAGGAAGAGAUGGUUAGCUCAGAGGAGGAUGACAUGGAAUGGACUCGUGUGAGGGAGGAUUUGGGUGCCACUGGCAAUGAUAAUAUGGAAGGCGAUUGGGGACCUUCAGGAUUAGACCCGUGGACAAGCUGGAGGGAUGGGACGGGAUCCACAGCUGGGGAUGCUGUGGGGCGUAGUCAAAGGUGUUUCAGUUCUGAUGAGGAAAGUGAUGAGGAAACGCCUGGAAUUAGGGUAACAGCUGAUAGUGAUGAGGAGCUGUAAACUGGCAUAAAAUGGGGUUUGGAAGCAAUGGCUAAUUGCGUUGGGCAAGGUAAUCUGGACGAACGCUUGGGCUCUGUGUGGGAAAUUCCUGAAGACGGGUGUGAUUCGUUUGCUGACUACCUUGGACCUCCGUCGUCUUCUUGACGGACGCCAUCUGUUUAUUCUGGACUGACUGACUGACUGACUACGGCCUCGGACUCUCCUUCCUGUGAUUAUCGUUGGACCUGGUGAACUACAAAUGUCUGUACCUGCCUUACGACCUUCGGACCGGAUUGGAACUUCGCUGACCGCUUCUGCCCUUGAAUGCUGCGUUUGUAUCUGGAAAUUGCUUGCUGUGUGGAGGAGUAACCUCUUAGUUACUCAAACAUAGCUUUUGGCAGCAGAGAAGCAUCUGCUGCCAGUUUCUUAUAUUCCUUUGAACCUUUUGUUCACCAGCUUUUGUUUGUUUUAGUCCCAGGCUGAAGUAAGCUUUUUUGGUUUAACCUGGAUUAAACUCCGGUUUAAUCCGGUUUAUCUUUUGAACGUUUUCCUUGUGUCUUUUUACUUUUAAGGCCAAUGUUUGCCUAGCCCUUGUCUUUUACGGGAAUUUUUGGUUCUGUAACUCCAAUAAACUUUGUUAUAUCUUAUCUUGUGGCGUUCUGUCCUUGACAGACAGCCUACAUAUGUUCAUUGACUUGUAUGCUCAUCAAAAAGCAACUGCUUUAAUUAUCAGGCAUGGUCCAUAGAACACCUUUUUGUAUUCCUUUGGGUCUAAAAUUCUUCACUGCCACAAGUUUGUGAUUUAGAGACAUUGUUUUGUCAUAGAAGACUAUGAAUGGCAUUAUGGACAUGCCAAAGAUUUAUAAGCUACAAUUUAGCCUGCCUAUCCCAGUGUGGAUAAUUAAUCUUUAGUAGGCCCCAAGCUUUGUAGGAUGACUGUCUCUUUUACCUGUUACCGUAGCUCUUCUGCAGCAACAGUUAGAAUGGAAUGGAAGCAACAGUUUACUGGUGCAAUAAAAACUUUUUGUUUGUUUUAUUAAUUUGGCUGUCUGGCAGUGCUUUGUAAUAUACACCCCGCCCCAUUGGUUUCCAUAUCCUUGUUUAGCAAUAUGCUGAACAACUUAAGCCAGGAAUGUUGUUUUUUUAUUUCCCACCAGCAGUUUCUUAGAAUCUUUUGGUAGGCUUUGAUCUACCAUUUGGGAAUCAUUGUGGUAAUGUUUAAGAACGGUAUGUAAUCGGAACUUCAUGAUGUCAUCUCUUUCUGGGAAUCUGGACAUUCUACUCAACUAGAUUACAGCAAGGAUACAAGGAUGCAAAAAGCAGUCUUACAUUUCAGCAGUUGGGCUUCAGUUUACAGUCUCAAAUUACUUCAGUUAUAAAGUCUUUUGUGUGAUAGGGAGUUGUCUUUAGAGCUACAUAACUUAAAAAAUGCAUUGGUCCUUGUUUAUGAGCAUAAUUUCUGCCACAAGAGCACACUAGUACCUUGUGGACCCAAACUACAAUUUUAGUUUUUCUCUGUAAAAUACAGGAUUUGUAAGAUAGAGCAAUGAGAGGUUUUUACUCUUAGAUUCAGCCUAAAAAUAAUAUUGGAUAUAUAAAAGUGAAUGCAUCCAGCCCUCCAUAUUCAAAGAUAUCCAUGGUUUGAAAAUAUCCCAUGCCCCCUCCCCAAAUAUCCAAAACUAAACGUUGAUGUUAUCUUUUUAUAUACACCAUGUCAUUGUAUAUAAUGGGCCUUAAGCAUCCACAAAUGUUGAUGUUCAAGGGAGUGACUGGAACAAAACCACUGUACAUUGUUAAAAAGAAUAAGAAGUUGCUUGAGUCAAAGAUUCAUUGCAUUUGUUCAUUACUAGAGUUCUUAAUUGUGGUAUAAGUGAUAGAAGAGCUAGUAUAUUCAAAUCUGAUUUUUUUAUUAGGAAUGUCCUUAAUGUAGGACCCCUAGGGUCCAAAAUUCAGUGAACUGUAAUAAAUAUUUCCUAUUUUUGUUGUUGAUGUCAAGAAGCUUCAAAGGGUUCUUCCAGACCUUGCUAUACAACGUAUUUUCUGUAGUAAUGUUAGGAUUAAAGAUGGGUUCUAGAAUGUCCUAGAGAGGUUAGACUGGGAAAACUUGCUAUCUUUCCAUAGAAAGAUCAGACAUUUGAGGACUGAUUACUAAUGAUAGGGUGCUGCACUGUUUGCAUUCAUUGUUUUUCUUCCUUAAUUGCAUACAUUUAAUAACUUUUUAUUCUUAUGACAGUUUUAUUAUAUUUUGCUUUUUGAUUAUGUAUUUUAGCUGUAUCUAACUUUUUUAAGGUGCUUUUAGUCCCAUAGAUGAGACAAAUGAGUGAUGAUGGUUAUUAUUAUUACUAAGCAAAAAUAGGAGGGAGGGUUGGUGGAGGAGGGAGUCAGUUGGCACCUUCAUAAUAAUUGUCUGUUUUAAAAGUGCAAGGACCUUAUUUUACAGUGUAACAUCAAAAAACAAAAAUAACAAACAAAAACAGUUCCCAACAAUUGGAAAAGAGAGAAUGUCUGAAAAGUUGCAUUUGUGGUAUUUUAAAGAGCACCAGAGAAUUUUCAGUUUCUGUAUAUUUAUACUUUGCAUUUCUUUUGCUGAAAUAGCUUGUGAAACCAUAGUAUAUACUUUAGCUUCCAAUUACAUUGAACGUGAUCAAUACACAUCAAAGUGAAAGUUAUUUGGCAGGGGUCCCCAAACUUUUUAAGUGGAGGGCCGGUUCAUGGCCCCUCUGACUGUUGAGGGGCCGAAUUAUCAUUUGAAAAAAAAUACAAACAAAUUCCUAUGCACACUGCACAUGUCUUAUUUGUAGUGCAAAAAACCCACCAACAAUAAUUAUUUAUUUAUUUACUGCAUUUAUCCCCCACCCUCUCUCACCCCGAAGGGGACUAAGAGUGGCUUACAAGUUGUAUGUACAUACAAUAUAUGAUAUUAGAAUAGAACAAGAUUAGCAUGAUAUAUUACUAUAUUGUACUAUACCACUGUACUGUAAUAUUAUUAGUAAUAUUACAUUUAAUAUAUAAUAUGCAAUUAAUAUUAUUAUAUUACACAAUAUUAUUAUAUUGUAUUAUUAUUAUUAGCCACCCUGAGUCCCCUAUUGGGUGAGAAGGGAGGGGUAGAAAUACUGUAAUAAAUAAAUAAAUAAAUAAAUAUUAUAUUGUAUUACAUUAUAAAAUUAUUAUCAAUAUUAUAUGUAUACACAAUAUAUUAUAUUAUUAGGAUUGCACAGUAUUAGUAAAUUAAAGAACAAUACAAUAUUUAAAAAUAAAAACAAUUUUAACCAACAUACUGUGUAAACCUAUCAGGAUUUCAAUGGGAAGUGUGGGCCUGCUUCUGGCCAAUGAAAUAGUCAAGCUAAGUAGGAUUGUUGUUGUGUCUUCAAGUCAUUUUGGACUUCGGGUGAGCCUAAGUCUAAAACUGAGGGCGGGGGCCAGGUCAAUGACCUUGGAGGGCCGCAUCCGGCCCCCGGGCCUUAGUUUGGGGACCCCUGGUUAUUUGGAGUGGCUAAAAUGCAUGUACAGUAGAGUCACUUAUCCAAGCCUCGCUUAUCCAAGCCUCUGGAUUAUCCAAGCCAUUUUUGUAGUCAAUGUUUUCAAUAUAUUGUGAUAUUUUGGUGCUAAAUUCAUAAAUACAGUAGUUACAACAUAAGAUUACUGCGUAUUGAACUACUUUUUCUGUCAAAUUUGUUGUAUAACAUGAUGUUUUGGUGCUUAAUUUGUAAAAUCAUAACCUAAUUUGAUGUUUAAUAGGCUUUUCCUUAAUCCCUCCUUAUUAUCCAAGAUAUUUGCUUAUCCAAGCUUCUGCCGGCCCGUUUAGCUUGGAUAAGUGAGACUCUACUGUAGUUGGAAGAACUAGCCUUAAUCUAGGUGAAAAAAAAAGAAACAUUUGGUGAUGAUAUUUUUCUAAAUAAAUUCUGUAAGUCAUGGGUGAGAAUUCUAUUAAUGGUGUCUUUUGAUAAGAACCUUCCCAAAUGGCAUAUUUCUUAUUAAAUUUGUAUAUAUUAGAUUGGGCCAAAUGUCUAUGUCUAGUUUUGAAAAGUGUUUUAUUAUUAUUUUGAACAGUGGAGGAGAAGGUAUGCAACCUAUUUAAAAGAUGGGUUGUCAUUUGGAGGUUUCAAGUCCAAGCAAUUUACACAUUUUUUUUGCUUGAAAAAGGACAGACUGAAAAGUCAGAAAGGGUUGAGGGCUUUAUAAAUAGUCUUGGGCAUCCCUGGAGCCAAAACUGUGCCCACUGCACAGUGUAUUUCGACUGAAUUGCACUAUAUUUAGUCAGGACAGUGACUGAAGAGAUUAGGAGUAGCAAGCAUGUAAGAUUUAUUCUCUGCCAGUUUUUUUUCCAAAAUAUUUCACUUUGUUCAGCUUUCUUGUCUUCACAUUAUCAUAUCAGCACACCUUCUGUGACAGCAGGCAUUUGAAUACGGUUGAGAUGGGUGCUUUGUAGAUUUAGAUUUUUACAUCUAAUUCUGUGCUUUCUCUUUUGUUGGAAUGAUCGAGAAAACAACAGUAUCAACUGCUUUUGCUUGUUUGCUUCAGUGUUGCUUUUUAAGGUGUAUUAUUAAUGAAAUGCACAUUUUCUAAGCUCCUGCCCCUCAAACAAAAAUAUGAGAUUUGGAACUCUAGGAGUUUAUGGGCUAGCCACAAAUGGGGCCAAACUUAGAAAGAUCUUCAAACUCUGCAGACCUAGUCAGUGGAAGCUGUUUUAACUUCAAUACUUGCUAAAUAUUUGUUACCCCUCCCCAAAUAAAUAAAUAAAUUUAUAAACAUAACCAAAAUAUUUUUAAAAGCUUUUCUGUGACAAAAAUCACAUUAAACUGUGUAAAAACCUAUAUCAGAACCAUGUGAGUAAUUUUGAUUCAGUUUUAUAGCUAAAGGCUUCAAUUUCACUUUAUCAUGUUUAGCAUAAUUUAGUAUUCUUGGCACACAGAUGUUAAAAUCCAGCUUUCGAUUUCUAAUUUAUCAUGGAUGUGAUUGAGUUCCUGCACUGAAUUAAAUGCUGUGUCAAAGCAGUGUUUUAGUAUUUUAUGCAGAUUGUUUGCUUGCAUGAACAGGGAAAUAAUAUUGUUGCACUGUAUAGAUAACUCUGUGACCACAAUCGUGAACCCUCUGGAUGAAAUCCAAUUAUUUCCUUCCACUGGAAAUAAAUAAAUAAAAUGAAAUAGGGAAAAAACAUCCUCUUGCAGUGUGGAUUAUGCUCCUUUAUGCAGUUUGAUUUGGCUAUAAUUAGGGCUCCAGGUAAGGCAGAAGAAAGUUAAAAGUCUGUUACCCACAGCAGUCUGGUAUUUGCUCUGGGGUUUGGGAUUCUAUAGUAUCCUCAUAUAUGUGUGUGUGUGUACAUACAUUUGUUUUUAAAAAAUGGGUAUGUAGAGCUUAAAAAUCUAUCAGUAUAUCAAAUCUGUUGUGAAACUUAUGUUUGAUGUUGAAGCCAACAUAUUGAUGCUUGUAGGAAAAUCACAGCUUCUUCCUCCCCCUUUCUUUUAACAAUGUAAAUCUUCAGCAGAGAAACGUUCAAUGAACUAUAAAAGGGUUAACCUUGCAGUCAAGCCACAUAUCAGUUUCUUCAAAAUGCCACUGGGAAAGCGAGAUAAAUUGGGGAACACUUUCUGCAUUGACAUGAUGUUCACCUGUCCGAUUGCAUCCUCCCCAACAGACAGCAAUGAAACAGUUACAAAAUAAAAAGACAUCUGUGCCAAGGUUUGGCUAGCUGGAGAGGGCAAACUCUUGUGUUUAAGAGGUAUAGAAUCCAAUCGAUGAAAAUGUCUGGGCCUGUUAGUGCCAAUAAAGCUGAAGGCCACUGGGAAGCUCAGAGAGGGCCUUUUGUUGUAGAGAUAGAAAAGAGGCCCAAACAGUGACACUUAGGGAGCAAUAGGGUCAGCCAGGACGAUCAUCCAUCUUCCUCAGUGGCAGCUUUCUGUCAGCUUCUAACCCUGCUCAGCAGAGGAGCUAAACCUCUAUUGUUGACACCAGCCAAUUCUCAGCCAAGUGUAAAUGAAGUUAAUAUUCACUGACCUUAUGCAUAGCCAAUGAAGGCCCUCAGUGUCAUCUUGGAAAUAAUGUUAUCUGACACUUCAAAAGCAAAUGCUGGCAGGUUGUUUGUGUAUUUUUUCUCCUUUUUUUGGCGGGGGAGUGCUAUGCAACUCUGCAGAGCUCUGUUGUUCCUCUGAUUUAUAUUAUCUACCAAGAGGAUAUUUCUUCUUAAACCAAGGUAAGUAAGUUCUACUUUUUCCAUGGCCUUUGGUUCAUACAAAACAACAAUUGAGGAUUGACUUCAGGAGAGGUUCAGCUCUCAAGAAAUAACCUUUAUGUUUCUAUUCUAUUAAAUAUCAAAAGGCAUAGGAAACAUUAGAUGUGCAGACCUAGAACAAAUGCAUGAGUAAGUAACUUGGCAAGAAAUAGCAUUUUACAUUUUUGGUUUGUUUGUUUUAAAGAAACCGUGUUAAAAGUCCAUUUGACUUUGCUGUUACUCAUUGUUUCUUACUGUUGCCCUAGUAGCAUGUUUUCAAGAUAAGUAUCUAAAAUACGCAAAAGUUUAAAUAUUUGGGAGAUAUUCUUAAUAAAAUAAACAAAUCUUUUAGAAUACUUUUUAUCAGUAAAUUUUAGGACUGCAAUGCUUCCCUGAUCUGCGAGAACUUAUUUCAAAACCUCAUGCAGAUGCCUGAAACUACAGGUCUUGCUAAACCCUAUACUAUAAUAUUUUAAGACCUCUGUUUACUGUGGAUAACUGGAACUGUCAGAAAGAACACAUGAAUAAGGGGAAAAUAUGUGUUAUUUUCAGACUACAGUUAACUUCAGGAAACUGGAACCACGGCGAGCAAACUCAAGGAUAUAAUAAUUAUCAAAAAAUGCAGAAUAUACUCACUGUUCUUCUGUUUUCUUGUUAUUGUUGAUAUAAUUUUCAUCACAACCUCUGCUAGAUAGAUAUCAGCUUUUGGAACGAAGAAAACUAAUAAUGUUAUUUAAACAUUGAAACAAUAAAAGAAUAAUUCGGCUUGAACAUACUAUAACUGCUGUAUUUAAAUAAGUAUGUUUAGGAGGUGAAAAAUACCAUGAAAAACUAUGACCAUUUCCCAGAAAUGACUCUAAUUCUCUGCCCUCUUUUGUCAGAUAUGUUUACUUUAGUAAGUUACUUCUCAUAAACUGAAUAUAGUACAACCUCAUUAAUCUGAAGAGUGUUAGUCUCUACAGGAUUGUGGAUUGCUUGGAAAUGUAGCAUAUCCCCUCAGAAAUUCCUGGUAUAAAGUAGGGUAUAAAUAAACAGAUAAGACAAUUAUGUUUCAUAUAAAUGAGAGUACUAAUUACUAGGCUUGUCCGAUCGAUGGAAAAAAUGUUUCAAUUCUCAUUUCUAAAGUAGGGGUGCCGGCGCUUCGAUAUAGAAAUUAUUUCCGAAUUUUUCACCCAAAAUUUUCGGAUAUUUCCGAAAAUUCGUAAUGUUUCUAAAUGUUUCUAAAAUUGUGGACGCGCAUGCGCAAUCGCCAAAAAAAAGAAACCGGGGGGGGGGACUUUUACAGGGCUCUCCCACCCUCAUUUCUUAAGCUAUCCUCAUCAAAUUUGGUACAGUGGGAGAUCAUAUUCAACACUCUUUGCUCAACAAAUUGCAGAACGUUUCCUGUCUCCUAUGAUUUUUGGCGAAUUUUCAUAACUUUUUAUAAUACACUAUUUUUCAAUAUUUGAAGAAACCUGUUCCUGGUUUGAAAGUCUUAUUUCCUGUUCAAUUGGGUUCUUAUCACUGUAAAAGUCCCUCUUCUACUUGUGUAGACUUUGGAUUAGAAACGCAGCACACACUAAGCAAUGCCUUGGCAGGAGUGCCACUGUCCUUUGGAAACUAUAAAUUGCCUUUGAACCUUUUGAUCAAUGGUGCCACUGGCUGACCUUGUGAUUGCAAAAAUGAAACUCUGGCUGAGGACUUUGGAUUAGAAACGCAGCACACACCAAGCAAUGCCUUGACAGGAUUGGCAAUGUCCUUUGGAAACUAUAAAUUGCUGUGGACCCUCUAUUGAAUCAAAUCAAUGUCUGACUUUGUGAUUGCAGAAAUAAAACUCAGCCCAAGGCUUGGGAAUAGAAAUGGAGUGUGAGGAAAGCAAUGCCUUGGCAGGAGUGCCCACGUCCUUUGGAAACUAUAAAUUGCUGUGGACCCUCUAUUGAAUCAAAUCAAUGUCUGACUUUGUGAUUGCAGAAAUAAAACUCAGCCCAAGGCUUGGGAAUAGAAAUGGAGCGUGAGGGAAGCAAUGCCUUGGCAGGUGCCCCACGUCCUUUGGAAACUAUUUCUUCCAAUGUACCCUUUAGGUUUGAAAACAAUGUGUGUCUUUGUGAUUGCUGCAAUAACACUCAGCCCGGGGGCUUGGGAUUACAAACGGAGCGGGAGGGAAGCAAUGCACUUGCAGGAACGCAGACGUCCUUUGGAAACUAUUAUUUUCAAGUCCCCCCCCCUUUCAGGAUUGCAAAGAAGGGCUGAUGUGGUGAUUGCUAAAUUCCAAAAAAGAAAACAGAAAGGCAAAGGGACUCCCUCUGGAGUAGAAAAGUAAAGCACCCCAAGCUCAGCACUUGCAGGAACGCAGACGUCCUUUGGAAAAUAAAAAUUCCCUAAAGCCACAGCAAGGACUCUGCCACAAGCCCCAAGCCAAUUUCCCAAAAAGAAACAAAAACAAAACACAAUAUCGAACCAGCAACAACAGACAGACACUCUACCCCCUAUAGCCAGAACAGUCACUUAGCCCUCUCUCCCCCAAGCAAGCAAGCAGCUUCCCAGCGUGCACGAACCACCUUCUCUGCUCGGUAUCCUAGCCCAGAAUGGCUUGGCUCGGUUGGGGAGGGGAUUUUUAUAGAGAUCCUCCAUGUGGACGCGGAGGAUGCUAGCCCCCACCUUUUUCAGCCAUCGUGGAAGUCUCUGAUUGGCCAGGGAGCGGUAGCCAUGUUAGGCUGCGCUAGGCUCCCAUUCAUGUUAGGUUGCAGAAAUAAAAUAAAAAAUUAAAAAACUUUUUAAAGAAAAUAUUUAAAAAAAAUUUGGAAGGAAAAAAUUUAAUGAAAAUUUUAAGAAACAAUUAGAGAAUGGGCCAAUGAUGGUUCGAAUUACAUUGCCAGUUGCGCCCAGGGAAAACGUUUCAAUACUCGUUUCAAAAAGUGAGAACAAUCCAAAAUAAUUACGAAAGGAGAAUUAUAAUGAAAAUUUGGACAACCCUACUAAUUACUUUUCCAUGGAAAAGGACAAAAGAUUUGCUUAUAUGAAGUUUUGAUCACAUAAUGAGAAUUAUGGAAUCAGUUGAAAACGAACUACCAUUUUUACAUGAUAGUAGAAUUUGAAAAUCAAACUUAUCAAAGUUCAUAUUUAUGAAGUGAAAAAACUGAAUAUAUGAUAACACAAAUUUUGAUCUGGGAAUACCAGAAGUGAAGUCCACAAAGAUAAGUGAUUAUCUGAUAUGCUGGAUAAAUGUCUUGAGAAUGACCAGAACGGGUCUUUAUCUAAUUCACACCAAUUACGCUAAAUGUAAAUAUAAACAGUCCAUAGAAAUUUUAAAGGACAGUAUUGAUUUUACUUCACUUCACCAGACUUGUUGAUUUGUAGUUAUUAAAGACAAGAACAUGUUUUCUUUAAGAACAGAUGUAUUCAGAUAGCAGAUAAUCGGAUUUCCCCUGAUUAUAUUAAUACAAGUCAGAUGUGAUAACAGUGGGUUUGAUCAUGUUUCUAAAACCAAAGUAUAUGAAUAAAUGAAUGCUGAAAAAGAAGAAAAUGCAUAUAGUUAGCCAUUUUCAGAUGAUGAAUGAAGUCAUGAAAAAGUCUGCUUAAUUUUCUGAACAUUGGUAAUUUUUUGAGAGUUCCCUCAUUCAUUUGGUAAUUACAAACAUCAUUAUUCAUGGAUUCAUUUAUGUAGUCUUACAUAAUAUCAGACUAUGAAUGAUGUUUAAAUAAGUCACUUGGGAAAUGCACAUUUUUUACACAACUGUCAUGCAGAAUGUGAAAUCCCCCCCCCCCCCCCCCAGUGGAGACUGCAGGUCCAUCAUGGAGACACAGCUGAUUUUCAACUGGCUUAAACUGAGCAGGAAGGAGAACCAUUGAAGAUAUCUGAAAAUCUUUAUUUUAAAGUUUCUAAACUUAAACAGAGCAUGAAAACACAAUUGGGGAAAGAGAAAUCUGGGGGAAUUUUUUAAAUCCCUUCAUUAACUACUGAUCCUUAUAUACAUGCAUAGGAAUCUCUUCAUAUUUUAUAUUAAUGUAUUUGCAUGUGCACAUAUGAGGAUCAACACAUAACAAGGUAUAUUGUGUGUGUGUGUGUGUGUCCCAUCCACCCUCCAUUUUAUUCCAAGACAAAAAAAGAGCUGUGAGUAUGGUGGGGGAAGACAGCCCAGGACCCACAGGUUUGUGUGGGGACCUGCAGGCAGAUCCCGGGGUUUUUUAUCCCUCUUUGAAAAUCCACAUUUUGGUGCUUUCUGGAAGUGCCCUCAGGGACCAGCACUGAGAGUGUUGGCUUUACUCUUUUAUUGUUUUAUCACAGUUUCUGUUGUUACCAUAUAUACUAGGCUUGUGCACAGAUUUGGUUUGGUUGGUUCUUUUCGGCCAAUCUGGCUUGUUCAGAAGGCUGUAAUGAUAAGGGCUCAGCCACCACAUUUUUUUCAUCCAGAAUGGGCCAUGUGGCAGCCGAUCAUAACUCUUCCUCUUUAGCAUCACGUGGUGUGCGGAGUGGUUCUGCAUGCUGCUUGCAUGUGUUUCCCUGUGGGACCUUCUUGUUGGACCAAUCAGAAUAGAAGAACGUUGUGACCUGUCUUAGGCAAGCUGUGUCUGUUUAAUGGGGCAAGCACCUCCAUUGCUCUCAGUUGCGUCCUGGCUCUAGAGAGGUGCUCCAGUCCGAUUGCCUUGCUGCUCACUCUCAGCUUUAUUUUAUGGCUUGGCCUGGCCUGGUCUGGCCUCUUUCUUGAAUCUUUUUGAUUUUCCUUGAUUUUCUUGAUUCUUUUUAUUUAGUGGAACUGGGAGUUGGUAAAGUGCAAACAAGUGCUGUAAAAGUUUUGGAGGUUAUUUGCUUUUGUUUUUUUUUAUUAGUAAAGAAAAAAGAGUAAUAGUGGGGCAUUGGGCUGUGUGAUGUGGAAGUGCAUCUUUGAUAUUUGGCAAGAAGGAAUGGUGCCCUGCUGCUGCUCCUGGAGAAGAUACAGGGCAGGGCCAGCAGGGGGAUACCUUUUGGGGAAUUUUUAAAGGAGAUUUUAUUUCUAAAAAGAAAAGGAAUUCCUAAAAAUCAGGGGAUGACCCAAACGUUAUGAAACUUGAAGGACUAACAGUGGUAGAUGUGUCCUCUAAGUGUGGUAAUUUUCAUCCUGAUAGCCCUAAAAAUGAUGGGAAGAGGAGCCCGGGAAGCCCCCUGCCAUUGCCACCAAUGGACCUGAUCUAGCCACAUUUUUCGGCUAUGUACCGAAAAUGCUAUUUGACUACCCGACCAUUUUUGGGGCAUACAUGAAAACAGACCCAGGGAUCACCUGAAGUUUCACCAGCUGAAAUGCACAAGCCUAAUAUAUACUCAUGUAUAAGUCGACCUCAUGUAUAAGUCAAGGGCUAAAAUUAUGGAUUCUGAUAUGACUCUGAUAAAUUGUGGUUCAUUCCAUAAAAAGGGGAAAGCAUCAAUGCUCCUGGCCUUUGCUGCCAUUUCAUCAUCCAAUGAUCCAAAAAGGCCAGAAGUAGUAGAGAGGGUAGAGUAAGUUAAUGCUUUUUCAGGUUAUCCUGGGAAGGACUAAGCUCUUUCCUUUUGCCAUUCCUAUCUCAGAGAAGGGGAUGGUUCUUUUCUAUAUAAGAAUUAAGGUAGAGUACUCACACAGACCCAUGGAUAAGUUGAUCCAGAUUUUUGGCUUGUUUUUUUAUUAUGAUAUGUAAACUUAUACAUGAAUAUACAGGGUAUUUAAAAAAAUGAUCCAUAUAAGACAGGAGUGGGUAAAAUACAGUCCUGUGACCACAGGUGCCCCAUAAGAAUUCCUUUAUAAACCUUAAUUUAUCCAUUAAAACCGGUUUCAUGCCAUCAACACCUGUGGUCUGAAUUUUUUAUUCCAUCAUAAGUGAAGUUGUGGAUUGAAACUUUGGAACCUCCAUGCUAAAACAAAGCAUUCUUGAAGGUACUCUUGGGUUCUCUCUCCCCUUCCUUUUAUGUUGAAACAGACUAAUAUAAUUAUCUCCUGUAAACUAUAAUCAACUACCCCUUCCUGCGAGGACUGCUAGCCUCUUCCAGGUGAUUUUAUUUGGGAAAAAAAUGACAGCUCAUGUUUUCUUUCUGAUGGUCCCAGGGUAGAAAAUUGCCACUGCCACAGUUGCUUGUCCUCGAUUUAAGGAAUAAUAAUAAUAAUAAUAAUAAUAAUAAUAAUAAUAAUAAUAAUAAUAAUAAUAACUUUAUUUUUAUACCCCGCCCCAUCUCCCCGAAGGGACUCGGGGCGGCUUACGUGGGGCCAGGCCCGAUAAAACAAACAAAUAACAGUAACAAAGCAAUAAAACAAUUAUCCCAGUAAAAAACAUCAACAUCAAUAAAAACAAUCAUUAAAAUCAACAAGCAGAAUACAGUGUUAAAAACAGGAGACUAACAGGAAACUGGGCACCUGCAACGUGUGAUGCAGCCAAGCCUCAGGUUGAUAUUAAGUUAGCCUUGAGAAAUGCAGGAGUGCUUUUAGCAUCCCUUGGAAAACUCAGAAGUACAACUGUGAAAAUAAUACAGGGAUAAAGAGAUACUAGAUUUUUCAUUGCAGAAAUGUUUGGAGAAAAUGCCCUUUGCACUUCAUUUUCAACUGAAAAUAUUUUAACUUAACAGACAUAUUACCGUAUAAGCUUCCACAGACCAUACACCAUUAGGAGAUACAAACACUGUUAAUACCUGUAGUAGUUUUUUUCUUAUGGAUGCAUUUUUGAAAACAGUUUAAACCGUAUGAAACUUUGCAUUUAAACUGUGUUCAUUUCUUUUAAAAUAGGUCUUUUUAUGCACCCCUUAUACUAACACAUUUUUGUAUGUUUGUAUGAAUAUUGUAUUGUUCGAAGAAGUGCACAUACUAGAGAAUAACAACUGAGUAUUUAGUUCAGGAUAUUUAGAGUAGGUUUGUUUGGCUUAAAAAGUGCAGAGUAGACAAAAUUGUCAGUAUUUAUGCCGUAAGUAAUUUGUGAUUUUGACAUCAGAAUAAAAUAAUAAUUAUUUUUUGUCUAGGCCAGUGUUUAGGUUUUUCUAACCUCAUGUAGGUUUCUCUAAUGGUUCCAUUUAAUUCUCCUUUGGUCAGAUUCAGAUAUUACUUGGACCACUGUUAACAAUUUAUGAAAAAUGUUGGCUAACUUGAAUAUGUCUAGAAAGAGGCAUGUACUAAUAUUUAGUUAAAAUAUCUUUUCCUGUAGUUUAAAUUCUUUGGUCCAUGGAGCAGCAGAAAAACAUGCUUGCCCAACUUCAAUAUGGUGUCCUAUCCUCAUCAAAGAGCCAGUGGAGAGUUCAGUCUGGCUCAAUUUUUAUUCUUUUCCAAUAGAGACUAGACACUUAACGCUUACUGAAUCAGACACUGUUAUCAACUCAAACACAUUUGGGGGGUUGCUGACUGGCAGAAGAAAGAAAAACAAAUAGCAAAGAAAGAGAAAACAUCCUAGCCCUUUCCUAACCCAUUGCUAAUGGAUAGGAGAGCAGCAGGAACACAAUAGUGAACCUGGUGUUUCCUCCAGUAGAUUGAAAGAGAUAUGUAUGUUUAGCAUGAUGAAGAACAAUUCCAGAAGUGAUUGCCAAAUAUUUGAAGACCUUGCACAUAUAGAUUUCUUUUGUUAGAGGGACUUCAUCAAAAAGGCCUAUGAAUUUGCCCUGCCUCAGGGCAAAUCCAUGGGCUCCCAGUGGGUUGUGGAGAAGCUGCCGCUCCACUCCCCACACCCCCUGCUUUACCAUGCUCCUCAUACCAUGAGGGAAAGCGUUGCAGCCCACUGGGAAGGUGACAUGGGAAGGCUCCCAUGUUGCCAUGGUGGCAGCAUGCACUGCUUCCUCUCCCUAUUUGGCAUGGAGCCCCGCCAGAAGUGCCUGUAUGUUGUGUGAAAGGCUGCAAGCCAAAAAUGGAGGUGAAGCAGCAUAUGACUAGCAAAUCAGCUUGUCUGAUGAGGUAGCCAAACCAGCUAAUUCAAAUUAAAAGAAAUAUGACUAAGCUUUAGGAAGAAGACUUCAUUCUUUGUUGAAGAAAUGAUGGCUACAUAGGUCGGAUGCUCUACUAGUGAUUUCCCACAUUGACAGGAUGUUGAACCACAUUAUGUUCCUGGUUCCUUGUAACCUUAUUAAAGUGAGCUCUUGGUAUUCAUUGGGGGGUUGUACCCCUAUGGAUACCAAAAUCACUGGACUUGGUUGUUGAUUAAAUGUAUUAGAACUCUUUAUUGCUGUGGAUCAGAGGGGGUGCUAUUGAUUGAAGGGCCAUUAAUUCAUGGGGGAAAAAAACCAAUCAGAGACUUGUGUCAGAAGUGGGAAGAAUCAUAACCAAAAUUCAUCACUGAAUGCUCUUGCCUUGUUUGUUGGUAUUCUUGCUGUCUUUUCCCUUUCUGUUCUUAGGCACCAGGUGAAACCUUAUGAACUUCUAGCAGGGACAGGGUUUGGUCAUAGUUUAUGAAAUUAGUAUUGCCAGUACUGUUAAAUGUUUGUUUUACACUCGUUCACUCACCUGAUUCUCUGGUUGGAAGAAACUAACAUAUCAGAAUGGGCUCCUGCUGUAGGUUGAGCCUUUCUUCCAAAGUUAUAUAUGAGUUAAAUCUUUGCCCUAAAACUUUUCACACCUACAAGGUGGAGGAUAGGUUGAUGGAUGCAGUUAAGCUAUAUUUGAGGAAAAUCUGUCAACCAUUAGAAGAGCUUGGAAAAAACAGUAGAGUAUAUGCUGACCUACCCUGUUUCCCCGAAAAUAAAACAUCCCCAGAAAAUAAGACCUAGUAGAGAUUUUUCUGAAUUGCUAAAUAUAACGCCUCCCCUGAAAGUAAGACCUAGCAAAGCUUUUGUUUGGAAGCAUGCCCGCCGAACAGAACAUCAGAGCAUGCAGGAUCGGUAAAUGUAUGUACCAUAGAUGCUGUACAUGAAAAUAAUGGUAGUAACAAGAAAUUCUUGAUAGGAUUCAGUUUGUCUGGUUAUGCUGGUUUGUAUGAUAUCUACUGUACAGUAUAUAAUGUUAUUUUUUUUUGUUCAACAAUAAAAGUGAAUUAUUCUUCAUGGAAAAAUAAAACAUCCCCUGAAAAUAAGACCUAGCACAUCUUUGGGCGCAAAAAUUAAUAUAAGACACUGUCUUAUUUUUGGGGAAACACGGUAGCAAUGCAAGUUUUUUUUUAAAAAAAAAUUAAAACUUCCAGAAUCUCUAAACUAGCAUGACUAUUGACUUACUGACCUUUUUAUUAAUGAACUCUUAACACAUUUCAAAAAACCAAAAACCUUAUUCCUCUCAAUACAGCAUGAAAUCUAUCAAUCCAGGUGAAGUGUAGUGGUUUCAGCACGAGACUAUGACUCUGAAGACCAGGGUUCAAAUCCCCACAGAAACCAACUAGAUGAUUUUAGUCAAGUUGUAUUCUCCCAGCCUCAGAUGCAGGCAGAGGCAAACUCACUUUGAAUAAAUCUUAGCAAGAAAACCCUGUGAGAGAUUCACCUUGUGGUUUCCAUAAAAUUGAAGGAUUUAAAGGCACAUAACACAGGACUUUAAAUACAAAAUGAAAAGAUGAAGUAAUUAAAAAGGAGUAAGUUGCCUAGCUUCAAAAAUCAGAAGCCAUUGUUUUGAUGUUAGUUGGUGCACAUCCGUGGACUAUAGCAAAUUUCUUUAUGAAAUAUCUAACCCAGGGUAGAUAACUUUGUACUCUCCAGAUUUUUUUUGUAGAGUUCUCCUAUUUCUUUGCCAGGGUCAUCCUUGCAGUCCAAACAAAGCAUCUGCAAAGAGCUACAGUGCUGGUCUAUAAUCCAGCCUCUCAUUUACCUACCUAGAAAGGAUAUAGGAGAGAAGAGAAUUGGGAGAGGCCAGUUUUUCCUGCCAUAUACAUUUGCUCCUCAAGACAAGCAUCUUGAAAACCAAGAUACCGAUAAGGGCAUUACGAUGUAUAAAGUCACAGAAUAGUGUUUUAUAUCUGAAGAUGUAUUUUUUUGUGUCUGAAAAGGGGAAAAUGCCACUGAAUUGAAUCGCAGAGUAUUUGAUGCAUUCCUGCUUUCAAUAUUGAAUACACAUUUUGCCUUUUUUGUUCAGGUUUACAAAAUGUUGCAAACAACUCAUCCUCAAAUAAUCUAAAUGGAAAGUGUUUGCUUAAAGGUACACUUCUGUUUGUUUUGUCUGUAAAGGAAAGAAGUAAAGAAUAGUCAGAAGACAGGUUCUUUGUACUAAAUGUCAGCAGAAGAUUCAUUACACCAAUAGUGACAUCUCUAGCUGUGAAUUGUGUGUUUCUAAGGAGGUGGCUGCUUUUUCUUUGUUGCUGUUUGAGUGAAAAAAUAAGCCUGACAUUACCAACAACAGUUUUAGUGUAGCUGCUCUGUCCAGGACUAAUGUGGUCACUCUGCCCAUUGCUUUUUCCUAUGAGAGUUACGCAAAAGAGCAUGCAGGGAACAGAAGAAUAAAAACUCAUGAGGAGUUAGCAUGACUUACUUUCUGAUUAAUCUCAUGGGUAGUGGGGCCAGAUGUAAGAGUCAAACUUUGACCCAGUUGUGUUAUUCAGAAUAAUAGGUAAUUUUCACCUCCUCUUUGUCUGGGUCUCUACAGAAAAGGUCUGUAUAGAUUGGAGUUCAUUGUGUAUUGCAUUGUCAGCAAAGCUGUGAUUUUCUCUGACAGUUACAUCAGUGGGGAUAGGGAAGGAGAAAAAAUGGAAUUAAAGCAUGAAAAAUUGCUUUGUUCUCUAGAGUUCUAGAGAACAGGCUUUGAAGCUCUUCUAUGCAAUCUUCAGCACAUCUGCAGAUAAUUAAAUUUAUAAAGAAUAAACAUCAAAAUUGUAUUUUAAAAAUUUAAUAUUGCAAGGAGAAAGGCAAAACAAAAUCAAUUGAAAGUGUAGAUGGAAUAUUUUAUGGUGAGCAUUUGGCAUUACUCAAUUAAAAAACAUAUUACAUGACUAAUAAACAAUCACCUUGGAAGAUAGUAAUCAAAAUGUGCAUGUUUGAUAAAAUUGAAGAAAGUAGGGAAAAGGGAAGACAAUAUUACAGAUUGGUUCAUACAAAGUCUGAACACAGCUUUUAGAGAGCUCUCACUCAUAAGGUUGUCAUAAGCCAAUUUGGCAACAAGUAACAGCAAAUAUAUGUAUACAGGGUUGUUGUGUGUUUUCCGGGCUGUAUGGCCAUGUUCCAGAAGUAUUAUAUCCUGACGUUUCGUCCACAUCUAUGGUAGGCAUCCUCAGAGGUUGUGAGGACAGUUUUACUCAAUAUAUUAGGAUUAAACAGAUAGACCAUUAAUAACAUUACUGACAGGAAAUAAUUUAUUUGGAUAGAAAUUCCAGUUAAAAUAAUUCUCUUGAUUUCUAAAUAUAUGUAAAAGGCAAAAGUGAAAGUACAUCCAAAAUAUAAGCUUCACAAAUCAUUCCAAAAUCUAGGUUACAGUCAGCAUUAAACAAAGUCCAGCACUGACAGUAAAACCAAAAUCCAAAAAACUUAGACCAAGAACUGAUCCAAAUGAGGUCCCCAAUCCCAAACAGGUAAACAUGACAUGAAAGCAAGGCCAGAAUCUCAAUCACAGAGCGCAAGAAAAAGGUGACUUUCUUUGGAAAAUACAAAGUUGUUAUCACACAGAACAAUCCAAGGGGUUAGCUUAAGACACUAUUGGUUCCCAUAGAGACACUAACACCUGGAAUCCCUCUGUUUAUUUUUCAAAUGCUGAGAAAACCUUAAUUGCCUCUGCUUGGCACUAGCUCCCUGUAACUGAAGAUGCUGUGUUAUGGGCAAUAAUCCAACAUCUUCCACCUCCCUCACAUCUUUCCCCGGGUCAGGGAGAGCCUCUGCCAUUGUUUUAUGUGAAACAUCCUCAAUAAAAGCAGAUUUGUCUGUAAAGCCAUUCCCAUCAUCUAGGGAAGAACUACAUUCUCCCUGAUGGAGACAUUCAGUCUCCAAUUCAGAAGCACAAGGCCCCACCAAAGGGUCUCCCUCCUCCUCAGACCAGGCCUCAACAUUAGGUUUGUAACUAUAAAUAAAAUCAUCAACCUUUACCAGUUUUCAUAAAGGUGGCUGCGGCAUGGCCCAGAUUGCAGCGAGAAGGGCCAGGCCAUGGCGGGAAGGAUCUUCUCGCUGCAGCCUGGCCCUUCUUGCUGCGAACUGGGCCUGCAGCCACCAUCCAGCCCGCACAGCUUGGCCCCGCCCACCAUGCCGCACGGCUCCGCCCACCACAUUGAGCAAGGUGGUGGGCGGGGCCAAGUUGUGUGGGCUGGAUGGUGGCUUCGGUAUGGCCCAGAUCGCAGCGAGAAGGGCCAGGCUGCAGUGGGAAGGAUCUUCCCACCGCGGCUUGGUCCUCACUGCGAACUAGGCCAGUGGCCGCCAUCUGGCCCACACGGCUUGGCUCUGUCCACCACGCUGCAUGGCUCCGCCCACCAUGUCACGCAACGUGGUGGGCGGAGCCAAGUGGUGUGGUGGGUGGAGCCAUGUGGCAUUGUCCUUCCCACCGUGGCCUGGGCCUUGCCGCCAUGCUGCUUGUGUGGCCCUGGGAAGGCCCAGGCCACGGCAGGAAUGACCAGCCCCAAGCCAAAGGAGGCUCGAGGGCGCCCCCGGGAUGAUGGCACCACAGGCAAAUGCCUCCCUCGCCUGGCGGGUGGACCGCCUUUGGCUGUUAAUCCAUAUUGAGUUCCCAGGAAACUAAACAAAUGCAAAAAAUCAAGAUUAGAGAUAUUUAAUUGCAAAAUGUAAUGGGUAAACAAGCUAGGUUGUAAAUUCAGCCCUCUAUAUCCAUGAAAUGAGCACCUGUAGAUUUAACUAUUCAUAACUUGAAAAUAUCCCCCUCACAGACAAAAAAAAAGGGGGGGGGAGAAGCAAAAAACAAACCUUGAUUUUGUCCUUUUAUAUAAAGGACACAAUUUUACUAUGCCAUUGUACAUAAUGGGACUCCACAGAUUUUGAUACAGGAUCCUGGAACCCUAGUGGCUGCCAAGUGCCCGCUGUAUUGUAAUUGUUAGAUGCCUAAUUUAUGGCAACUCUAUGAUAUUUUUUUGGGCAAAUUUAUUCAUAAGGUUUAUCCAGUGGAGAUUUGCUAUUGCUUUUCGCUAUGCUUCCCCAAGAUCACCCAAUGGGAUUUUUCCUAGCUGAGUGAGGAUUUGAUCCCCUAUAACCCUAGACUCCAUGCCCUUCUACACAGGCCUCAAUCCCAGGAGGAACUGGGAUAUUUUAUCCCCGUUCCCCUCAGAACUGAGGCCCCACACCCACCCCAAACCCCGGGAUAUCUCUAGGGGGUGGCUACAUGUUCCCAGCCCUCCCAUUUACCCCACAAACUCACAUGAGGGACUGGCUGCAUGCUCACACCCCUCCGUCAAAAUCUCCUGAUGCAUGCAGCAUGCAGCCAAUCCCCUCAUGUAUGUUUUUGGGGUAAAUGUGGGACUGGUAGGGAAGAGUGAGGGUACCAUCCCGCUCCUUUGGGCUCUUGGAGCUUGAAGAACUGGGAUCAUAGUGGGGAUUAACCCAUGGGAUCACCAAAGCAGUCCCAACAGUCAAUCCCCACAGGGCCCACACCUGGAAAGGUCUGGACCUUACAUUAAGGUCCAGACCUUUCCACAUGUCAAAUUAAUCCAGAGUAAACUGGGAAAUUCAUUUUACUCCAUAUUUAUUUGGUUUUACCUGAGGCAUCAUUUGGACACCCCAGGUAAAAACCCUUCACAGGUCCCAUGUUUUGGGACUAACCUAUAAUUGCAUCUGAAAUGUGCUGUUGGUUCACAUAUGUUUUGCAUAUAUCUAUUGGAAUAUCAGCAGGUGCAGCACUAUGCUUGCGCAACCCUAGUGGUGUUUCUGUUUACAAUAAGAGUGCAUAUUUCCUUGUCAUUUGAGGAUGACAUUCAUCAAAUGUUCUGGGAAUGUCCUGCACACAUCUUGUGCCUUCUUUUUUCUGUACCGAAACAUUUAGUUGACAUUCUGAAGACAGAUUCCCCCUUAUAUAAAAAGACUAGCUGUGCCCGGCCACGCGUUGCUGUGGCGAAGUAUGGUGGUAUGGGAAAUAAAGUAUUGAGGAAUUGGUGGUAGUUAAAGUCAAGGGUAAAGGUUUUCCCCAGACAUUAAGUCCAGUCGUGUCUGACUCUGGAGGUUGGUGCUCAUCUCCAUUUCUAAGCCGAAGAGCCGGCGUUGUCCGUAGACUCCUCCAAGGUCAUGUGGGAUGACUACAUGGAGCGGCGUUACCUUCCCGCCGGAGCAGUACCUAUUGAUGCACUCACAUUUGCAUGUUUUCGAACUUCUGGGUUGGCAGAAGCUGGAGCUAACAGUGGGGGCUCUCUCCGCUCCCCCAAUUCAAAUCUGUGGCCUUUCAGUCCAGAAGUUCAGCAGCUCAUAAAUGUGUGUGUGUGUGUUGGAUAAGUGAGACUCUACUGUAUAUUGAUAAUCUUAUAUUAUCUGCUUAGAACUGGAUUAUAUGAGGCCCCUUCUUCACAGCUGUAUAAAAUGCACACUGAAGUGGAUUAUAUGGUAGUGUGGAGUCAAGAUAAUCCAGUGCAAAGCAGAUAAUAUAAGAUUAUAAAUGGGUUAUAUAGCUGUGUGGAAGGGCCUUGAGUCUACACUGCCAUAUAAUCCAGUGCAAAUUAGAUAAUCUGUGGAAAAAGUCUAAGUGAGGCCUAAAUCUGCCUGUCCCCUAACUGAAACCUGGCUGUCCCUUGGUUGCUAGGAGACCAAGUGGGCAGAGAUUAGCCCUCUAAACUGGCAGCAAUUGGAUAAAAAAAAUUAUUGCUCUCGCUCUAAUUAGGACUUUAUUUUUCUUUUCUUUUUGUUGUAUCAAUCUUGAGGCGUGAAUGAUGGGUUGUGUUGUCAAAUUUUGAGGUUGGGGGGCCUGUACUUUUGUUGUUUUGUGAAUUGCCGUGAUGCCAUCACUCUUUUAUAUAUAUAGAUAACAAAAGGAAUCUACAGAAACUCCAGGCAUUCUUGGUAGACACUGAUUUUCUAGAUCCGGCGCAGUCUGGCUUUAGGCCAUGGUAUCCUUUUGGGAUGCCUUGCCGGAAUCGGGCUCGGGGGUACUGUUCUGCAGUGGCUCCGGUCCUUUCUGGAGGGUCAUUCCCAGAUGGUCUCAUUAGGGGACACCUGCUUGGCCCCGCAGGGGUUGCUACUGUCUCCCAUGUUGUUUAAAAUAUACAUGAAGCCGCUGGGAGAUAUCAUCCGGAGUUUCAGGGUGAGGUGUCAUCUGUACACAGAUGAUGACCACCUGUCACUAAGGAGGCUGUUCAGGUCCUGAACCGGUGCUUGACUGCUGUGUCGGACUGGAUGAGGGCGAACAAAUUGAGGUCCUCCUGGUCAGUCGUAAGGCUGAACAGGGAAUAGGGUUACAGCCUGUGUUGUACGGGGUCGAACUCCCCCUGAAGACGCAGGUUCGCAGUCUGGGUGUUCUCCUGGACUCAUCACUGAGCCUUGAACCCCAGGUCUCAGCGGUGGCCAGGGGAGCAUUUGCACAAUGAAGACUUGUGCGCCAGCUGCGCCCUUUCCUUGGGAGGUGUGACUUGGCCAUGGUGGUCCAUGCUCUGGUUACAUCCCGUUUGGAUUACUGCAACACGCUCUAUGUGUGGCUGCCUUAGAAGAAGGCGCGAAAGCUCCAAUUAGUACAACGGGUGGCAGCCAGAUUGUUAACUGGGGUGGCAUACAGGGAGCAUACUACUCCACUGUUAUGCCAGCUCCACUGGCUGCCGAUAUGCUACCGAGCCCAAUUCAAAGUGCUGGCUUUGACCUACAAAGCCCUAAAUGGUUCUUGUCUAACUUACCUGUCCAAAUGUAUCUCCUCCUAUGAACCAUCAAGAACGCUAAGAUCGUCUGGAGAGGCCCUGCUCUUGGUCCCACCUGCCUCACAGGCGUGGCUGGUGGGAACGAAGGAUAGGGCCUUCUCAUUGGUGGCUCCUCGCCUGUGGAACGUCCUCCCCAGUAACAUCUGGCAGGCCCCAACUCUUUUGGGCUUCAGGAAGAAUGUUAAGACAUGGCUUUGUGCGCAAGCAUUUAAUAAGUAAGUACUAUAUUGACAUGGUCUGAACUAAGGUAUAUGUGCAAGGUUUUUUUUUGGUAGAAUGGAAGUAAUUAAUUAUAUGUUUAUAAGCUUGAAUAAUGUAUUUUAUGGAUUAUUGUUAAUGGUUUUAAAUAUGUUUUUUUUACUGAUUUUAUGUGGCAUUGAAUUUUUCUGGUUGUUGUAAGCCGCCCUGAGUUCCCUCGGGUGAGAAGGGCGGGGUAGAAAUGUUAUAAAUAAAUAAAUAAAUAAAUAAAUAAAUAAAUAAUAUAGCGGAAUCUCUACUUAAGAGUGUCCCAACUUAAGAAUGUUUUGAGUUGAGAGCUCAGUCAUGAAAUAAAUUAAACUCUUAAGUCAAGUUAUUAAUGUAAUAAUUUUAUUAUUAAUUAAGCAAUAUAUAUAUGUCUCCAUUUUAGGAAAGUAAAACUUGGAGAGUGUUCUACCUACUUGAGAAAUUGCAAGUUAUUUGUGUAAUCUGAGAAACUGAAUUGUGGUUAUCAUUUGCUAUCUUACAACUUACAUUUUCUGUGAUAUUUUUAUAUGUAGAAACUCAAAACCAUUUCAUCUUUUUAAAACUUGGACUGCAUAUUUUUGUUUUUACAUGGUUAGAAUUGCAGAAUGCAGUAUUACAAUCUAUUUCUACCAAAACAAAUUGUUGUCUAUAGAAAUAUGAGGUACUUUUUCAUCAAAAUUCUGUGUUUGUAAGAAAACGGAAUGAAUAGCACUUAAGUGUAGAGACUGGAAUAAACUAAUCUGUGCCAGAAAUGAAUAAACAAUCUGAGGUGUCAGCUGGUUUCAUUUUAUAUUUUUCAAUACAGUAUGAUAAAGUUGUAUUCAUGUAUUCUAAAACAACACUCUUUCUACUUAAUAAAAAGUGUGUGCAUAUGUAUGGAAGGAUGCUUUCCUUAUUUCAUUUCUGUUCCUUUCUGCAAAGCAAAAACAUCUUAGCAAAUGUCAAAGAGAUAAUAAAAGCCGAUUCAUUGUCUAUAUGGGUGUUUGUCAAAUUUACCAAGAAUUUAUGAUUGGUGCUGUUGAAUACAAUAGGAUUACUACUUUGGGUGGGUAUGCAAAACCACAGAUAAUAGCAAGCCCUACAGAAAUGAAGGGAUUCUAGCCCAUUAAGACCAAGGAGAAGAAAUGAAACUGCCGAUUCCAGUUUCACAAACAUGGGAGUCAUUACAGUAGAGUCUCACUUAUCCAACCUUUGCUUAACCAACAUUCUGCAUUAUCCAAUGUAGUCUGCCUUUUAGUGGUCAAUGUUUUAGUAGUCAAUGUUUUCAAUACAUUGCAAUGUUUUGGUGCUAAAGUCAUAAAUACAGUAUGUUACCGUUUAUUGAACUGCUUUUUCUAUCACUUUGUUGCAAAACAUGAUGUUUAAGUUCUUAAUUUGUAAAAUCAUUAUGUAAUUUGAUGUUUAAUAGGCUUUUCCUUAAUCCCUCUUGAUUAUCCAACAUUUUUGCUUGUCCAACGUUCUGCUGGCCCGUUUAUGUUGGAUAAGCGAGACUCUACCUUUUUUUUAAAAGAAAAUUGGGGGCUGCAUGAGAUCUGUAGGUUUUACAUUCCUUGCUCCCAUGUUACAAUAUUUUUGUUGAUUGUAUUAUUCCACCGUUUGUUGUUGAAAGUAUGAAAUACCUAAGUCAGUGGUUCCCCUAGAUGUUGUAUAGAGAUAUUGAUUUUGGUUUAAAAAUUAGUGGACUGCUACACUCAUUUUCCUGUAAUCCAACUCUAGCUAAAGCAUUUGCUUAUGGGAGUACCUCUAUUUUUCAUGCCUUUCUGUAGAUGGGUGUGAUUUACAGAUUUUCCUAUAGAUAAAUUGUAAUUCAGUUGAUAUUCUUUUUUAAAGCCUCAAUCCACAAGAAACAACAACAACAACAACAAUAACAAAAACUUAUUAUUUAGAGCUCUUAACCUAGCUCUGUAUGGAAGCAAAGAAGACAUUUUGUGUAGGAGGAAUAAAAACCAAGAAUUUCCUAGCAAGUGUAAAAAGCAUAAUUAUAAGUGUAGAUUCAUAUAAACAAUGUACUACACAGAUGUUUAGCUAAGAAUGAAUCCAUGGGGGAAAGAAAGGAGUGGAAGAAAUUACAGCAAAUGAGCUCCGGCCAUAUUUUUAUAGAUUCUGACUUUGCACAAAUAGGUAUAACUAUAUAUUUGAGAUACAUUUGGAGGUUCUUGCAAAAUUAAAAGAUAUACUAGCCAAGGUUCUGUAUGCUUCUAGCAUAAUAUGAAUGUACAGCAGUGUGGUCAUGCUAAAUUCUUCAGUUGGACAUCUGAUCAUGCACUGGUUGCCAUGAAUUUGAGAUCAUCCAUUGCACAAUGGUUGAUUAGUUUCUCACUAAGUUAAAAAAUGCAUGAGAGAGAGCUGUGUGUGCAUGUGUUUGUGGAGCAGUUUCCUGCUAGGGAUUACCUUUAGGCAACUUCUAAUCACUGUGUGCCUAUUUCUACAGUAAAAGGGGGGCUCCAAUAUGAUUCCGUCCUAUAUAAAGAUCAUAUUGAAUGCCAAAGUGCUAAUUGUUCAGUCUAGGUACAUAAGAAAUCAGUUUUUCUUUUAAGAUUAAAAAGGCCAAGUUAAUCUACUUUAAAAACA